CCUACGGGAGGCAGCAGUGGGGAAUAUUGGGCAAUGGGCGCAAGCCUGACCCAGCAACGCCGCGUGAAGGAAGAAGGCCUUCGGGUUGUAAACUUCUUUUCUCAGGGACGAAGCAAGUGACGGUACCUGAGGAAUAAGCCACGGCUAACUACGUGCCAGCAGCCGCGGUAAUACGUAGGUGGCAAGCGUUAUCAGGAUUUACUGGGUGUAAAGGGCGUGUAGGCGGGACUGCAAGUCAGAUGUGUAACCCACGGGCUGAACCUGGUGACUGCAUUUGACACUGUAGUUCUUGAGUACUGGAGAGGAAGACGGAAUUCCUGGUGUAGCGGUGAAAUGCGUAGAUAUUAGGAGGAACACCAGUGGCGAAGGCGGUCUGCUGGACAGCAACUGACGCUGAGGCGCGAAAGCGUGGGGAGCAAACAGGAUUAGAUACCCGUGUAGUC
rnacentral:rRNA from 1 species